rnacentral:lncRNA from 1 species
GCCUUCUCGCUAUCCUUGGAUUUUCCUGCCAUGUCAAGCAAGGUCCCCAGUAUGCUCUCGCAUAUAUUUCUUUCAAUAUGCAUCACAUCCAGAUUAUGCCUUACAAGCAACUUUUCCCAGUAAGACAGUUAAAAAAAAUACUCUUCUUCCUCCAAUUGUGCCAUCUAGCGUCCUCUUUCACGCUGCUUCCUCUUUUUAGUCGUGUUCCCAAAUGUCACUUGCUCAAAG